UGGGGAAUUUUGGACAAUGGGCGAAAGCCUGAUCCAGCAAUGCCGCGUGUGUGAAGAAGGCCUUCGGGUUGUAAAGCACUUUUGUCCGGAAAGAAAUCCUUGGCUCUAAUACAGUCGGGGGAUGACGGUACCGGAAGAAUAAGCACCGGCUAACUACGUGCCAGCAGCCGCGGUAAUACGUAGGGUGCAAGCGUUAAUCGGAAUUACUGGGCGUAAAGCGUGCGCAGGCGGUUUGCUAAGACCGAUGUGAAAUCCCCGGGCUCAACCUGGGAACUGCAUUGGUGACUGGCAGGCUAGAGUAUGGCAGAGGGGGGUAGAAUUCCACGUGUAGCAGUGAAAUGCGUAGAGAUGUGGAGGAAUACCGAUGGCGAAGGCAGCCCCCUGGGCCAAUACUGACGCUCAUGCACGAAAGCGUGGGGGAGCAAAACAGGAUUAGAUACCCCUGGUAGUCCACGCCCUAAACGAUGUCAACUAGUUGUUGGGGAUUCAUUUCCUUAGUAACGUAGCUAACGCGUGAAGUUGACCGCCUGGGGAGUACGGUCGCAAGAUUAAAACUUAAAUGAAUUGACGGGGUCAUAGCUG
rnacentral:rRNA from 1 species